rnacentral:hammerhead_ribozyme from 1 species
AUCCAGCUGACGAGUCCCAAAUAAGACGAAGCACACUUCCUGGAU